AUCUUUAUCAAGGAUUUUCUCAGCAGCUUUCCAUUGACCUUUCACUACGGCUUGAAACAAUGAUCGAUGCUCUUCAUUGAUCUCUGGUGUCGGCAUAACUGAAAAAAUUACACAUUAAAAGUCCUCAAACUUUCGCACUUCUUGUUUUUUAGGUCAAGUGUAACCACUGCACCUAUUCAAUGUUCCAAUGAAAGGCGGAUGCAAGCAAAGGGGUAUUGUUUGCUCAACAUACCUUCUUCUAUGAGUGCCUUCGUUUACACUUUGGAAGUAAAAACUACCUUUUUGGCUUUCUCGAUUAUAAUUCAAUAUAUUAUUUAGAUUUUAGAAGUUUAAAGAGAUUAUAUUUGAAUUUAAAUGCCAGCUUUUGUAUGUAGUGAAGUUCAAAGUAUUUCAGAUUAAAUAAUGUCAAAAUGCAUGAAACGCAAGUUACAUGAAAAAUGAAAAUUAUAAGUUCAAAAUGACAAACCUUCAAUUGACGUGAAACUGCCUUGGGAAGCUUUAUCAGAUGUUUGUGAUUUCUGAACUCAUAUUUACAUGCAUCUCUUUGUAACCAAAAACAGAAAUGAACAUAAAUAACCUUAGAAACUUUUAUUACACUUUGUAUCCUUUCGAUCAUCUAUACAUGACCAGUAUCGGGAUCAAUCAUUUCAUAAAACAUUUUUUAAAUAUACUUAGAUGGUAAACUCUUAAAAAAAAGAUUUUUUAACAUUAACCCUUAGUUUUUGAUCAAUCUGUGAUCGUCAUGCACACUUCAAUCAAAGUUGGUUUGCAACCAUCUUAGGAAGCUUUUUCAGCUGCUGUGCCUUCUGAACUUACUUCUACGUGAAUCUCUUUGUUAACAAAAAGAGAAGAACAUAAAUAACCAUCUUAAAAUGUUUUGAAGUGAAAAAGCCAAAAUGCAUGGAGCACAUUGAUUUAUAAAGAACGUAAAUUAAAAGUUUGAAGUGACAAACUUUUAGUUUUUGAUUGAUCCGUGGUGCUCUUGUUGUCUUGAAAUGGAAUGGAAAUGUGACCGUUUUGGGAAGCUUUAUUAGUUGACGUGCCUUCUAACCUCAAGUCUAUGCGAAUCUCUUUGUUAUCAAGAAGAAAAAUGAACAUAAAUAAACUUAGAUAAAUGAAUUACACUUUGUAUGCUUUAGAUGAUCUAUAAAGGACUAGCAUGAGGCUCAUUCAUCGCAUGGAAUUUUCUGUAAAAAACAUAGAUGGUAAAUUUCAAACAAACAAAAUUGACGUUAAAUUAAUGAAAUAAUUAUAAAGUACUACCUUCUUAACUUACUUCUACAUGAAUCUCUUUGUUACCGAAAAGGGAAAAGAACAUAAAUAACCAUCUUAAAAUGUUUCAAAGUGAAAAAAGCCAAAAUGCAUGGAGCACAUUGAUUUAUAAAAAACGUAAAUUAAAAGUUUGAAGUGACAAACCUUUAGUUUUUGAUUGAUCCAUGCUGCUCAUGUUGUCUGGAAAUGAAAUUGAGAUGAGACCGUUUUGGGAAGCUUUAUCAGUUGAUAUGCCCUCUAACCUCACGUCUAUGCGAAUCUCUUUGUUAUCAGAAAGAAAAAUGAACAUAAAUGAUUUUAGAUAAAUGGAUUACACUUUGUAUGCUUUAGAUGAUCUAUAAAUGGCUAGCAGGAGGCUCAUUCAUCGCAUGGAGUUUUCUGUAAUAAACAUAGAUAGUAAAUUUUGAACAAAAAAAAAAA
rnacentral:lncRNA from 1 species